GGGGCUGUAGCUCAGUGGCAGAGCACUCGCCUAGCACAUGUGAGGCACUGGGUUCGAUCCUCAGCACCA
rnacentral:tRNA from 1 species